GCGCCAGACUCCUACGGGAGGCAGCAGUGGGGGAUAUUGCACAAUGGGGGGAACCCUGAUGCAGCGACGCCGCGUGGGUGAAGGAGUGCUUCGGCAUGUAAAGCCCUAUCGGCAGGGAAGAAGCAAGAUGGUACAUGACUAAGAAGCCCCGGCUAACUACGCGCCAGCAGCCGCGGUAAUACGUAGGGGGCGAGCGUUAUCCGGAUUCACUGGGUGUAAAGGGAGCGUAGACGGCCAUGCAAGCCAGGGGUGAAGGCCCGGGGCCCAACCCCGGAACUGCUCUGGAAACUGUGCGGCUAGAGUACUGGAGGGGCAGGCGGAAUUCCUAGUGUAGCGGUGAAAUGCGUAGAUAUUAGGAGGAACACCAGUGGCGAAGGCGGCCUGCUGGACAGUAACUGACGUUGAGGCUCGAAAGCGUGGGGAGCAAACAGGAUUAGAUACCCCAGUAGCG
rnacentral:rRNA from 1 species